rnacentral:rRNA from 1 species
AGAGUUUGAUCCUGGCUCAGAUUGAACGCUGGCGGUAUGCUUAACACAUGCAAGUCGAACGGAAACGAUACUAGCUUGCUAGUAGGCGUCGAGUGGCGGACGGGUGAGUAACGCGUAGGAAUCUGCCUGAUAGUGGGGGAUAGCCCGAAGAAAUUCGGAUUAAUACCGCAUAAUCUAUUCGUAGUAAAGUGGGGGACUUUUAAGCCUCACGCUAUCAGAUGAGCCUGCGUAAGAUUAGCUAGUUGGUAGGGUAAAAGCCUACCAAGGCAACGAUCUUUAGCUGGUCUGAGAGGAUGAUCAGCCACAUCGGGACUGAGACACGGCCCGAACUCCUACGGGAGGCAGCAGUGGGGAAUAUUGGACAAUGGGGGCAACCCUGAUCCAGCAAUACCGCGUGUGUGAAGAAGGCCUGAGGGUUGUAAAGCACUUUCAAUUGUGAAGAAAAGUUAACGGUUAAUAACCGUUAGCCUUGACGUUAACUUUAGAAGAAGCACCGGCUAACUCCGUGCCAGCAGCCGCGGUAAUACGGAGGGUGCAAGCGUUAAUCGGAAUUACUGGGCGUAAAGCGUGCGUAGGCGGUUUAUUAAGUCAGAUGUGAAAGCCCCGGGCUUAACCUGGGAACUGCAUUUGAAACUGGUCAACUAGAGUAUGGUAGAGGAAAGUGGAAUUUCUGGUGUAGCGGUGAAAUGCGUAGAUAUCAGAAGGAACAUCAAUGGCGAAGGCAGCUUUCUGGACCAAUACUGACGCUGAGGUACGAAAGCGUGGGUAGCAAACAGGAUUAGAUACCCUGGUAGUCCACGCCGUAAACGAUGAUAACUAGCCGUUGGGGGGAUUUACCCUUUAGUGGCGAAGCUAACGCGUUAAGUUAUCCGCCUGGGGAGUACGGCCGCAAGGUUAAAACUCAAAGGAAUUGACGGGGACCCGCACAAGCGGUGGAGCAUGUGGUUUAAUUCGAUGCAACGCGAAGAACCUUACCUGGUCUUGACAUCCUGCGAACUUUCUAGAAAUAGAUUGGUGCCUUCGGGAACGCAGUGACAGGUGCUGCAUGGCUGUCGUCAGCUCGUGUCGUGAGAUGUUGGGUUAAGUCCCGUAACGAGCGCAACCCCUAUCCUUAUUUGCCAGCACGUCAUGGUGGGAACUAUAAGGAGACUGCCGGUGAUAAACCGGAGGAAGGCGGGGACGACGUCAAGUCAUCAUGGCCCUUACGACCAGGGCUACACACGUGCUACAAUGGGAAGGACAAAGAGCCGCGAAGCCGCGAGGUGUAGCUAAUCUCAGAAACCUUUUCGUAGUCCGGAUUGGAGUCUGCAACUCGACUCCAUGAAGUCGGAAUCGCUAGUAAUCGUAGAUCAGAAUGCUACGGUGAAUACGUUCCCGGGUCUUGUACACACCGCCCGUCAUACCAUGGGAGUGGGUUGCACCAGAAGUGGCUAGUCUAACUUAGUGAGGACGGUCACCACGGUGUGA